rnacentral:misc_RNA from 1 species
GAUGAAGAACGCAGCGAAAUGCGAUAAGUAAUGUGAAUUGCAGAAUUCCGUGAAUCAUCGAAUCUUUGAACGCACAUUGCGCCCCCUGGCAUUCCGGGGGGCAUGCCUGUCCGAGCGUCAUUUCUGCCCUCCAGCCCGGCUGGGUGUUGGGCGCUGUCCCCCCGGGGACACGCCCCAAAGGCAGUGGCGGCGCCGCGUCGGGUCCUCGAGCGUAUGGGGCUUUGUCACCCGCUCGGGACGGACUCGUCGGGGCUGGUCUUCCUCCAUGCGACCCGUCGGGGCUCGUCUUCCUUCGGUUGACCUCGGAUCAGGUAGGGUUACCCGCUGAACUUAAGCAUAUCAAUAAGCGGAGGA